rnacentral:RNase_P_RNA from 1 species
AUGAGCGGAGGGUCGCUCUUGGUGUUCAACCAAGGGAGGAAAGUCCGAACUCCGCAGGGUGCGAUGCCGUGUAACCGAGGAGUCCAUGGAUGUCCAAGGAUACACACGGGCAAGUGCGCCGAGAGGCGUCUUGACGGAAAGUGCCACAGAAAACAAACCGUCCGACACCGUCGGAUAAGGGUGAAAAGGUGGGGUAAGAGCCCACCGCUCCGAGAGUAAUCGACGAGGCAUGGUAAACCCCAUCGGGAGCAAGAUCGAAUAGGGAACCUGGGAGCGGCCCGCUCCAUCGGUGAACCUGAGUUCACCGGGGUUCCGGGUAAGAUCGCGAAGAUAAAUGAUCCUCUCCGUUCUUCGGAACGCAGACAGAAUUCGGCUUACAGCUCAUCC